GGGGACUUGGCGGGCGGCUAAGACAUGCAGUCGAACGGUAACGACACUAGCUUGCUAGUGGUCGACGAGUGGCGGACGGGUGAGUAACGCGUAGGAAUCUACCUAGUAGUGGGGGAUAGCCAAGGGAAACUUUGGGUAAUACCGCAUACGAUCUAAGGAUGAAAGGGGGCCUCUCUUUGAAGCUCUCGCUAUUAGAUGAGCCUGCGUAAGAUUAGCUUGUUGGUGGGGUAAUGGCCCACCAAGGCGACGAUCUUUAGCUGGUCUGAGAGGAUGAUCAGUCACACUGGAACUGAGACACGGUCCAGACUCCUACGGGAGGCAGCAGUCGGGAAUAUUGGACAAUGGGGGAAACCCUGAUCCAGCCAUGCCGCGUGUGUGAAGAAGGCCCUAGGGUUGUAAAGCACUUUUAGUAGUGAGGAAGGCUCAGUAGUUAAUACCUACUGGGAUUGACGUUAGCUACAGAAAAAGCACCGGCUAAUUUCGUGCCAGCAGCCGCGGUAAUACGAAAGGUGCAAGCGUUAAUCGGAAUUACUGGGCGUAAAGCGCGCGUAGGCGGCUUGGUAAGUUGGAUGUGAAAGCCCCGGGCUCAACCUGGGAACUGCAUCCAAAACUGCCUGGCUAGAGUAUGGUAGAGGAUGGCGGAAUUUCCUGUGUAGCGGUGAAAUGCGUAGAUAUAGGAAGGAACAUCAGUGGCGAAGGCGGCCAUCUGGACCAAUACUGACGCUGAGGUGCGAAAGCGUGGGGAGCAAACAGGAUUAGAUACCCUGGUAGUCCACGCCGUAACGAUGAGAACUAGCCGUUUGGACAUCUUGCAUGUUUAGUGGCGCAGCUAACGCGAUAAGUUCUCCGCCUGGGGAGUACGGCCGCAAGGUUAAAACUCAAAUGAAUUGACGGGGGCCCGCACAAGCGGUGGAGCAUGUGGUUUAAUUCGACGCACGCGAGAACCUUACCUACACUUUGACAUCCUCGGAACUUUCUAGAGAUAGAUUGGUGCCUUCGGGAACCGAGUGACAGGUGCUGCAUGGCUGUCGUCAGCUUCGUGUCGUGAGAAUGUUGGUUAAGGUCCCGUAACCGAGCGCAACCCCUUAUUCCUUUAAUUGCCAGCGGUUUAGGCCGGGAACCUC
rnacentral:rRNA from 1 species